CAUACUCAAAAAUAACGGAGAGAAUGGUGGCACCGGGGUUAGAGACAAUGCGCACAUCGCCGAUGGUGGAAUCGUAAACGCCGUGGAAGCGAAUCCAACCGACGAAGAAGAUUGCCCCCAAUCCGAGCAGCAGCAGGUGAUGACCCAGAAUUAAGCCCAGUUGCUUGGGAUCAUCCCA
rnacentral:antisense_RNA from 13 species